CACUGGCAUUUGAUCCAGACAGAUGCAGUUGUUGGAAGAAUGUUCCCUAAUUCCCAACAACAUUCUACCCCAAGUGCAUAAUGAAAACACAACGUCUGGGGGAACGAAAUCCAUUUGUAAGGACUGAGCUCUUUAAACUACUUGUACAGUUCAAAAUAUGAUGACUAUUUGAAUCAACGGAAGACAAGUUAGCCUGACAUGGGGCUGUCUGGACUGACACGUGGCUGUCUGAAAUGGGGUAACCAUUCUGGGAAAAGCUGCCUGCUUCCUAAUGACAGUCGUUAAGCACAACACAGUGGGAAAUUAGGCUGGAUCCAAAGCUUGGGUUUCUAGUUGAGUUGAGUUGGUUUAGUUUCGCAUUGGUCAGGGCCCCAGGUAGGACUGUGAGAGGUGAACGUGCGUUGGAGCUAGUCAGUAAAAAUAAACUUUUCCUAGCCUUUAGUCAGUUGUGAAUCAACCGUUGCUUUUUUGAAAAAAAUAACAAAAAACAAAAACCAAAACUCUUCUUUUUCUCAUAUUCACUGAGUCAUUCAGGUAGAGGUGUGUGAGAAGACGAAACUACCUGCAGAGAACAAGUUGUCUUAACCAUCUGCUGGGAUGCUAUCAUUCUGACUGAAGGGGCUCAGAGGAGCAGCAGCAGCAGCAGCAGCAGCAGCAGCAGCAGCGGCAGCAGCGGCAGCAGCGGCAGCAGCAGCGGCAGCAGCAGUAGGAGAAAGACUGCAGAGGUGCAAAAGUUUAGUUUCCCGAGGCAGCGCUGAUUCUCCUGCGGGCCGGCAGCAUGUCCAGACCCAGAUCGGAGGCUUUUCCAGCCGAGCAGUCUCCUGCCUGAGUGAGGGCCGCACGGCCGGGCCGGGGCGGGGAGCCGGAGCAAGCGCCUCGCCGGAGCGUGUAGCUCAGCACCACCCGCCACCACGGCAGCCUGCGGGGCCCCGCCGCCGCCCGCCCUCUAGCGGCAGAGCCGGAGAAGCGCGCCUGCC